CUAGGUCUCAGUAUGAUGCACAUAAGCAUGACCUAAAGGCUGACCUACGUUGUGGCUCACUAACAAAACCACCACCACAACAUCAACAACCAUUCCCACCCCUACCCAACACCACCAUCACCCCUACCCACCAUCACCACCACUAUUACAUCCACAUUAUUAGUACAUUCAAUGUAGGUGUUGUUGUUCGUCUUGUGUGUGUUGCUGCUAGUCUUCUCUAUAAUCCAGACCUUUUUCUUCCACCCUACUACUGGUCCCAUAAAUCUCAGCACAGAGAAAAAUCAGAUCUUGUCCGAGUUCCAGUCAAAGAGUUUUUGGGCUUCUGCUAGUACCCAAAUUUGAUAAAUCCUAUUCGAAGAGAAAUUUAUGUUCGUUGUAGGAAUUCAAGUUUUGGGUAUAAGCAAUAAAAUGAUAAAUUGCGUGAUUCAAAGAUAAAUUCAUGCUCGUUGUAGGAAUUCAAGAUUUGGGUAUAAGCAAUUUUUUAUUUCUCCAUAAAAAUUGCUUCUUUUUUUUUGGCAAUAAAAUAUAAAUAUUACCAUUACUAAACAAAUUUGCAUACAACUAAAGAGAACAUGAUCCACAUAUCUCAAGCACAGAUAGAUAGAAUCAAGCCUCAGGAGAUUACCACACUCUAUUUAUAAAGCCUAUACACUUCUUAGCAAACUUGGUCUCUCUGUACAUCCUAAUCCUUUCUCGCACAACUUCUUGUAUUUGCUGUAUAAUGAACUCUAUGUUUACACGAAGACUUCUAAAAUUCUUCUCAUUCCUAGUUAGCCACAAAUAUGUACCAUUGCUCCGAAGACAACUGCGACAGUUUUCUUCUUAAACUUGUUCCACCGCUUCUUCCUUAUCAACUGGAUGGCUUGCUGCACACUGUGAUUGUGCACUUUGAUCCCUAGCCAACUUGUUAAUUUGUCCUAUACUGUGAUUUCUAUCAUAUAAUUGCAGAAUAAAUCUUUGGUAUCCUCUAUCUGUUGUUAUUCACAAAGCACAUAUUCUGUACUAUCUAGGUUGAUACCAAGCCUUUGUAGUCUCACUUUAGUAAGGAGUUUAUCUUUUAUUGCCAGCCACAUAAUGAAUCUGUGUUUAUGUAGUAAUAUCUUACUCCAGAUCAAUUCUGAGCCCCUCCACACAUUCCUCUCGCCCAUAAGCUUUGCGUAUCCUGUUGAGAUGGAGUACUGCCCAGAUUCGGUUAGCUUGUAUUUAUCCUGGUUGUACCAUGUUCGUAUCACAAGCUUCAUCUUAUUCAAUUGCUUCCAGUACCAACUACAUUCUCGGGGGGCCGUGUGUUUCCAAAAGGACUCUCCCUCUUUCAUAUAGAUGCUACUCACCCAUUGAACCUAUAAUGCUUCCUUAUUUUGGUGCAGCCACCAGAACAAUUUUCUCACUGCUGCAAUGUUCCAGAUUUUACAACUUUUGAUAUUUAGGUCACCUUGGAUUUUUGAACAGCAUAUUGUGUCCCACUUAACUAGAGAGACUUUCCUUUUAUCAUCAUUCCCACCCCAAAGGAAUUUUCUACUUUAGCCUCCACUAUCUUGACCACAGUCUGAGGAAGGAUCAUUGUUGAACUCUAAAAGUUUUGUAAGGAAAAUACGAUUGAGUUUAGAAUUUACAACCUGCCAGCAUAUGAUAAAUGUCUAUUGGGAGUAGCUUGUAAUUUCUAUGCAAUCUUGUUACUUAACUGAUGACAGUCGAUCUUGGUGUAUUUCUUAUAGGAGAGAGGCAUUCCAAGAUAUCUAAUAGGAAGCUUUCCUAUUUGAAACCUCGUAGUCUGCAGAAUUUUCUGUUGAACUUCAAUGGUUACUCUAUCUAA